rnacentral:lncRNA from 1 species
GGUUGAGUAUCAGAAAGUCAUGUUUGCAUAUGCGGUGGAUACUUGGCACCAAAGGAUCCACUGUGGCUUAAGAUAUGGAAGCUAAAACUGCCCCAACAUAGUGAUGCGACAGAAAUUGGUAAUCAAUGUUGAACGAUGUCGACGUAACCUGACGGAUGAUGAUUGCUGCAAUUUAUGUGAAGUUGGCACCAAAUCUAAUCUUCAUGCCCUUACAGACUGUUGUAGUGCUAAAGCACUAUGGGUAAAGCAGAUCCUAUGGCACUGAGAAGUACAUGCCAGUAUUAGUAUUUCUUUCUUCAUUAUGUUGGAGAUGUUGAAGCAAAGCAAUUCCAUGCUGUUGGCCAUUAACUCUUUCUUAUUAUUAGUAACAUUUCCUGUCUUGGCUUUGGAUCAGUUUCAUUAGAUUUUAGUGCGUUGAAUAGUCUUUUCUUCGUUCGGAUUUGAGUAUGAAGGCCCACCCCAAAGAGUGAAUAGUCCUUUGUUUUUGUGGGUAAUCGCCACGUAACUUAACCCCAAUCACUCCCUCAAGAAUAGGAGUCAAUAAUAAAGUGCACAU